rnacentral:rRNA from 1 species
GUACACUCCUGCGGGAGGCAGCAGUGGGGAAUUUUGGACAAUGGGCGAAAGCCUGAUCCAGCAAUGCCGCGUGAGUGAAGAAGGCCUUCGGGUUGUAAAGCUCUUUUGUCAGGGAAGAAACGGUGAAAGCUAAUAUCUUUUGCUAAUGACGGUACCUGAAGAAUAAGCACCGGCUAACUACGUGCCAGCAGCCGCGGUAAUACGUAGGGUGCAAGCGUUAAUCGGAAUUACUGGGCGUAAAGCGUGCGCAGGCGGUUUUGUAAGUCUGAUGUGAAAUCCCCGGGCUCAACCUGGGAAUUGCAUUGGAGACUGCAAGGCUAGAAUCUGGCAGAGGGGGGUAGAAUUCCACGUGUAGCAGUGAAAUGCGUAGAGAUGUGGAGGAACACCGAUGGCGAAGGCAGCCCCCUGGGUCAAGAUUGACGCUCAUGCACGAAAGCGUGGGGAGCAAACAGGAUUAGAUACCCGAGUAGUCCC